rnacentral:tRNA from 1 species
GGUGCGAUAGCCAAGUGGUUAGGCCGAGGUCUGCAAAACCUCUCACACCGGUUCAAUUCCGGUUCGCACCU